GACGAACGCUGGCGGCGUGCUUAACACAUGCAAGUCGAACGGAAAGGCCCUGCUUUUGUGGGGUUCUCGAGUGGCGAACGGGUGAGUAACAGGUGAGUAACCUGCCCUUCACUUUGGGAUAACUUCAGGAAACUGGGGCUAAUAUCGGACAGGAGCUCCUGUUGCAUGGAGGGCGGUGGAAAGUUUCGGCGGUCGGGGUUGGACUCGCGGCUUACCAGCUUGUUGGUGGGGUAGUGGCUGACCAAGGCUUUGGCGGAUAGCCGGCAUGAGAGGGUGGACGGGGUCCAUGGGACUGAGAGACGGCGCAGACGGGAACAGUGGGCAGUAGUCGCGAAUAUUACACAGUGGGCGGAAGCCUGUGGCAGCAGCGCCGCGUGCGGGAUGACGGUCUGCGGGUUGUAAACCGCUGUAGCCUGUGACGAAGCGUGAGUGACGGUAAUGGAUAAAGAAGCACCGGCUAACUACGUG
rnacentral:rRNA from 1 species